CUCCUUUUGAAGAGUUGAAGAGAUCGGAGUUCUCUCUUUUAAUGAACUCUAAGGUUUCAGCCUCCCUUUAACGAGCUGAUUUAUAUAUCGCCCUGUGAAUCGAUCCUUCCCUCUAAGAAUCAUAACAAUUUGGUAUCAGAGCCUAACACAAUGGGCGAUGAGAUCAGUUCCAAAUUUCGCAAUGAGAUCAAUUCUAGGUUUCAAGAAGAACGUGUGAUUACAGAAACACUAAUGGACUCUAAACUUGCAGCUAUGGAACGUCUCGGUGAAAGAAUUGUCCAAGUUAUUCAAGAACAAUUUUCUAGCCUGGGAAUUGGCUCUACAAAACCAGUAGUCCAUGGGGCAGAAUCAAGUAAUGCCCAGACAAUUGGUAAAUCAACAAAUCCGGCUCUUAGAGGCAAUACACUGCCUAUUCAACCAACUGAUCAUAAUCAUCAAACUAGUGGUAAUUCC